UAUGUUUCUAAGAAACCCCAUGGAAAGAGGUCUGGGCCUAAGUGAUGUGCUGGACUACUGCCUAAUUGGGAGGAAGAAACUUGAUGACUACACAGCAAAAAUCUACACCUUCUUGGGUGAAGUUCCAAAGACAAAUUCCAGCCAGAUCAAAGAAGGCAAAACCUCUGGCUUUAAGACUUACCAGGCUGUUGUUCUGCCUAUUUCUUCGUGCCUGGCUCACCGGCAGUGGUGGCCUCACCUGCUGCUCUUGUGUAAUUAGUUUUAAGUCAUCCUCAAACAAUUAGGACUGCUUAGCUUUGGCCAAAUUACUGGCAGUUACUUUUGAAGUUGAGUGCAUUAAUGAGAGGAAAUGGGACAUUUAUUGAAAACUGGUGCCCUGGCUUAAAACAGGGUCCUUGGAAGAGGAAGGAAGUUAUUAAACCUCUAUUCAUUUAAGCCAUGUGUGGCAAAACGGGCUCCAGCAGAAUUGGGGAGCAUAUGUCUACUAAGCAGCGUUAAAAUAGAUCUGGGUGGCUUGGGUUUCAACUAAGGGGUAGUGUUUCAAUAGCCCUUCUAGCCCUUGCCGCCAGCCGUGGAACUGAACCCUCAAUGAUGUUUGUAUUGGAGUCAUGCUUUUUUCUCUUUGCCAGCCACUUUCAAAGACUGCAGUCUUGGGAGAAAUUGAAAGGUUCUUGGAGCUGCAAGCACCAGAUGACAAAAAGGACAGAGGCGCUUUCCAAGCAAACAUGGCAAAUGAAAAUGUUCUGGACAUAAAUGAUGCCCCAGAGGAUCAUCUGGAUUUGAUGGAGAAGCAUAGCCAGGAAAAAUCCCAAAUCAGCACUAACCACCAGACCAACUUCCUUUAAUGAGCAUCCAUGAAUGCAGAACACAAGCAUGCUCCAGUUAUACGUGCAGCAAUCAAACUGAAAUCUUCAAGGACAAGACAAUGAUUUAUUAUAUUUUGCAGAAUUCAUUGGUAUAGAAGAAAAAUGUUGCCAACCACAAGGAACAAGGCUAGGCACUCAGUGCACAUGUAUAAUUUAGAAUCAACCAAUCAUAAACUGAGCAGCACCUGCUUUUCAUAAAGACAAACAUCAAACUGCAUGUGAACCUGGACUUCACAUUAUGUUAACCCAAUUAAAGAAAAAACUUUGCAUGUUUAUGCAAAUAAAUCUAUGUGCUGGUUGUGAUGA